rnacentral:rRNA from 1 species
UACGUAGGGUGCAAGCGUUAAUCGGAAUUACUGGGCGUAAAGCGUGCGCAGGCGGUUAUGUAAGACAGUUGUGAAAUCCCCGGGCUCAACCCUGGGAAUUGCAUCUGUGACUGCAUAGCUAGAGUACGGUAGAGGGGGAUGGAAUUCCGCGUGUAGCAGUGAAAUGCGUAGAUAUGACGGAGGAACACCGAUGGCGAAGGCAAUCCCCUGGACCUGUACUGACGCUCAUGCACGAAGCGUGGGAGCAAACAGGA